GUGGGGAAUAUUGGACAAUGGGCGCAAGCCUGAUCCAGCCAUGCCGCGUGCAGGAAGACGCAUCUAUGGUGUGUAAACUGCUUUUGUACGGGAAGAAACACUCCCUCGUGAGGGAGCUUGACGGUACCGUAAGAAUAAGGAUCGGCUAACUCCGUGCCAGCAGCCGCGGUAAUACGGAGGAUCCAAGCGUUAUCCGGAAUCAUUGGGUUUAAAGGGUCCGUAGGCGGUUUAAUAAGUCAGUGGUGAAAGCCCAUCGCUCAACGAUGGAACGGCCAUUGAUACUGUUAGACUUAAAUUACAAGGAAGUAACUAGAAUAUGUAGUGUAGCGGUGAAAUGCUUAGAUAUUACAUGGAAUACCAAUUGCGAAGGCAGGUUACUACUUGUGGAUUGACGCUGAUGGACGAAAGCGUGGGGAGCGAACAGGAUUAGAAACCCUUGUAGUCC
rnacentral:rRNA from 1 species